ensembl:lncRNA
GUGGUGGUCUCAGUAUAUGGUAAGAAGCCUUGACCUUCUCCAGGGGACCCCAACCUCUGGAAUCUAAUGCCUGACGAUCUGAGGAAACCAGUGCUUGGUGUCAGAAAGGUUGAGGACCUCUGCGUCCAAGCUGUCUGAGUGGAGAAGCUCUGCCCUCUGCCGCACGAUGGCCCAGCUGCCUCUGAACUGGAGCUCUGGGACCAGGUGCAGCAAUGUUGGGGCCUUCGGUCCCUGGACACACGGACCUCACUGGAGACUCCUGACUGCCAGGCACUCCCCGGCAUCCAUCCUAGAGGCUGACCCCUGUCUCCCCUGGAGAUGCUCCCUCAGGGGACCCUUCCUGCAGCUGUGCAACAGCUGCACCUCUGGAAGCCCUGCAGGGCCCAGAGGCCACAGUCACCUGCUGUCAAAGUC